UACGGAGAUAGAGGCGCGAGAUGUAAUAGUAAUUUUGUGGAGUUUGGUAAGCAGAGAAGCAUAAUAAAAGGACUGAUCGCCGAAGUGAUAAUUAUACUAACGAUUAUUGCUGGUUAUAUACUUAAUAGGUAUGUGACUGUCAUCAUUUGAUGGAGUGCUAACUCAUUG
rnacentral:ncRNA from 2 species